GAUGAACGCUGGCGGCGUGCCUAAUACAUGCAAGUCGAGCGAACAGACGAGGAGCUUGCUCCUCUGACGUUAGCGGCGGACGGGUGAGUAACACGUGGAUAACCUACCUAUACGACUGGGAUAACUUCGGGAAACCGGAGCUACUACCGGAUAAUAUAUUGAACCGCAUGGUUCAAUAGUGAAAUACGGUUUUGCUGUCACUUAUAGAUGGAUCCGCGCCUGAUUAGCUAGUUGGUAAGGUAACGGCUUACCAAGGCAACGCUGCGUAGCCGACCUGACAGGGUGUACGGCCACACUGGAGCUGAGACACGGUCCAGACUCCUACGGGAGGCAGCAGUAGGGAAUCUUCCGCAAUGGGCGAAAGCCUGACGGAGCAGCGCCGCGUGAGUGAUGAAGGUCUUCGGAUCGUAAAACUCUGUUAUUAGGGAAGAACAAAUGUGUAAGUAACUAUGCACGUCUUGACGGUACCUAAUCAGAAAGCCACGGCUAACUACGUG
rnacentral:rRNA from 1 species